GGGUAGUUUGACUGGGGCGGUCUCCUCCUAAAGAGUAACGGAGGAGUACGAAGGUGCGCUCAGACCGGUCGGAAAUCGGUCGUAGAGUAUAAAGGCAAAAGCGCGCUUGACUGCGAGACAGACACGUCGAGCAGGUACGAAAGUAGGUCUUAGUGAUCCGGUGGUUCUGUAUGGAAGGGCCAUCGCUCAACGGAUAAAAGGUACUCCGGGGAUAACAGGCUGAUACCGCCCAAGAGUUCAUAUCGACGGCGGUGUUUGGCACCUCGAUGUCGGCUCAUCACAUCCUGGGGCUGAAGCCGGUCCCAAGGGUAUGGCUGUUCGCCAUUUAAAGUGGUACGCGAGCUGGGUUUAGAACGUCGUGAGACAGUUCGGUCCCUAUCUGCCGUGGACGUUUGAGAUUUGAGAGGGGCUGCUCCUAGUACGAGAGGACCGGAGUGGACGAACCUCUGGUGUUCCGGUUGUCACGCCAGUGGCAUUGCCGGGUAGCUAUGUUCGGAAAAGAUAACCGCUGAAAGCAUCUAAGCGGGAAACUUGCCUCAAGAUGAGAUCUCACUGGAACCUUGAGUUCCCUGAAGGGCCGUCGAAGACUACGACGUUGAUAGGUUGGGUGUGUAAGCGCUGUGAGGCGUUGAGCUAACCAAUACUAAUUGCCCGUGAGGCUUGACCAU
rnacentral:rRNA from 1 species